rnacentral:rRNA from 1 species
GAUGAACGCUGGCGGCGUGCCUAAUACAUGCAAGUCGAGCGAACGGACGAGAAGCUUGCUUCUCUGAUGUUAGCGGCGGACGGGUGAGUAACACGUGGAUAACCUACCUAUAAGACUGGGAUAACUUCGGGAAACCGUAGCUAAUACCGGAUAAUAUUUUGAACCGCAUGGUUCAAAAGUGAAAGACGGUCUUGCUGUCACUUAUAGAUGGAUCCGCGCUGCAUUAGCUAGUUGGUAAGGUAACGGCUUACCAAGGCAACGAUGCAUAGCCGACCUGAGAGGCUGCUCGGCCACCCUGGAACUGAGACACGGUCCAGACUCCUACGGGAGGCAGCAGUAGGGAAUCUUACGCAAUGGGCGAAAGCCUGACGGAGCAACGCCGCGUGAGUGAUGAAGGUCUUCGGAUCGUAAAACUCUGUUAUUAGGGAAGAACAUAUGUGUAAGUAACUGUGCACAUCUUGACGGUACCUAAUCAGAAAGCCCCGGCUAACUACGUG